AACGAACGCUGGCGGCGUGGAUAAGACAUGCAAGUCGAACGGGAUUACUUUUGUAGCAAUACAAAAGUAGUUCAGUGGCGCAAGGGUGCGUAACACGUGGGCAAUCUGCCGAGAUGUGGGGGAUAGCUCGCCGAAAGGCGAAUUAAUACCGCAUGUGAUUAGGGAAGACAUCUUUCCGACAUCAAAGCCGGGGCAACCUGGCGCAUCUUGAUGAGCCCGCGGCCUAUCAGCUAGUUGGCGAGGUAAUGGCUCACCAAGGCAUUGACGGGUAGCUGGUCUCAGAGGACGACCAGCCACACUGGAACUGAGACACGGUCCAGACACCUACGGGUGCAGCAGUCGAGAAUUUUUCUCAAUGGGGCAACCCUGAAGGAGCGACGCCGCGUGGAGGAUGAAGGUCUUCGGGAUUGUAAACUCCUUUCGAUCGAGACGAACGGCCCCGG
rnacentral:rRNA from 1 species